AUGCAAGUCGAGCGGGCGUAGCAAUACGUCAGCGGCAGACGGGUGAGUAGCGCGUGGGAACGUACCUUUUGGUUCGGAACAACUGAGGGAAACUUCAGCUAAUACCGGAUAAGCCCUUACGGGGAAAGAUUUAUCGCCGAAAGAUCGGCCCGCGUCUGAUUAGCUAGUUGGUGAGGUAAUGGCUCACCAAGGCGACGAUCAGUAGCUGGUCUGAGAGGAUGAUCAGCCACAUUGGGACUGAGACACGGCCCAAACUCCUACGGGAGGCAGCAGUGGGGAAUAUUGGACAAUGGGCGCAAGCCUGAUCCAGCCAUGCCGCGUGAGUGAUGAAGGCCCUAGGGUUGUAAAGCUCUUUUGUGCGGGAAGAUAAUGACGGUACCGCAAGAAUAAGCCCCGGCUAACUUCGUGCCAGCAGCCGCGGUAAUACGAAGGGGGCUAGCGUUGCUCGGAAUCACUGGGCGUAAAGGGUGCGUAGGCGGGUCUUUAAGUCAGGGGUGAAAUCCUGGAGCUCAACUCCAGAACUGCCUUUGAUACUGAAGAUCUUGAGUUCGGGAGAGGUGAGUGGAACUGCGAGUGUAGAGGUGAAAUUCGUAGAUAUUCGCAAGAGCACCAGUGGCGAAGGC
rnacentral:rRNA from 1 species